UGAUAGAACCAUCCACAAACUGCAUACCA
rnacentral:sRNA from 1 species